rnacentral:rRNA from 1 species
GUGAGUCGGCGGGGGAUAAGCUCCGUCGUCGAAAGGGAAACAGCCCAGAUCGUCGUCUAAGGUCCCCAAGCGUGUGCUAAGUGGGAAAGGAUGUGGAGUCGCAUAGACAGCCAGGAGGUUGGCUCAGAAGCAGCCACCCUUGAAAGAGUGCGUAACAGCUCACUGGUCUAGUGGUUCCGCGCCGACAAUGUAGCGGGGCUCAAGCACACCACCGAAGACGCGGCAGUAGCUUUGCUACUGGGUAGGAGAGCGUCCCAUGCGGGGCGAAGCGGCGGCGCAAGCCCGCCGUGGACCGCACGGGAGUGAGAAUGCAGACAUGAGUAGCGAAAGACGGGUGAAGAUCCCGUCCGCUGGACGACCAAGGGUUCCAGGGCCACGUUCAUCGUCCCUGGGUGAGUCGGGUCCUAAGGCGAGGCCGACAGGCGUAGUCGAAUGGAUGAACGGGUCGAUAUUCCCGUACCGGCAUGCAACCGGCAAAACCGAAUCCGCGAGUACUAACCUCCGGGUCCGGGCUCACGUCUCCUUCGGGAGCCGGAUGCCCUGGCCUGUUGGGACCGUAACGGUAGUAGGUCAGCGCGGGAGUGACGCAGAAGGGUAGCCGGCCGCGGAGGUGGUCUUCCGUGGUCAAGCACGCAGCCCGUCCCACAGGCAAAUCCGUGGGGCGCGUGGGCGAGGUGCGAUGAUGGGCGCCGCAGGGCGCGAUAUCCGGUGAUCCCGGCUGCCGAGAAAAGCUUCGGCGUGAGGCGGCGUGCCGCCCGUACCCCAAACCGACACUGGUGGUCAGGUAGAGAAUACCAAAGCGAUCGAGCGAAUCCUGGUCAAGGAACUCGGCAAAUCACUCCCGUUCCUUCGGUUUAAGGGAGACCCCCGAUGGUGAAGCGGCUUGCCCGCGGAGCUUUUGGGGGUGGCACAGACCAGGGGGUAGCGACUGUUUACCAAAAACACAGGAGCGUGCGAAGGCGCAAGCCGCUGUAUACGCUCUGACGCCUGCCCGGUGCCGGAAGGUUAAGAGGAUCCGUCAGGCCUCGGCCGAAGCGGUGAAUUCAAGCCCCGGUAAACGGCGGUGGUAACUAUAACCAUCCUAAGGUAGCGAAAUUCCUUGUCGGGUAAGUUCCGACCUGCACGAAUGGCGUAACGACUUCCCCACUGUCUCGACCAGGAGCUCGGCGAAAUUGCAGUACGAGUAAAGAUGCUCGUUAAGCGCAGAAGGACGAAAAGACCCCGGGACCUUUACUAUACCUUGGUAUUGGCAUUCGGUGUGGAUUGUGUAGCAUAGGCGGAAGGCUUCGAAGCCACGGCGCCAGCCGCGGUGGAGCCGCAAGGUGAAAUACCGCUCUGUUCGCAUUGGAUGUCUAACCUCGACCAGUCAUCCUGGUCAGGGACAGUGCCUGGCG